CUACGGGUGGCACCAGCAGGGAAUAUUGCACAAUGGACGGAAGUCUGAUGCAGCGACGCCGCGUGGAUGAUGAAGGCCCUCGGGUUGUAAAAUCCUUUUCAGGGGGACGAGGAAGGACGGUACCCUUGGAAUAAGCGUCGGCUAACUACGUGCCAGCAGCCGCGGUAAGACGUAGGACGCAAGCGUUAUCCGGAUUUACUGGGCGUAAAGCGUCUGUAGGCGGAAUGGUAAGUUGGACGUGAAAGCUCCGGGCUCAACCCGGAGAGGUCGUUCAAUACUGCCAAACUAGAGGGCAUCAGAGGAGCGUGGAAUUUCCGGUGUAACGGUAAAAUGCGCAGAUAUCGGAAGGAACACCAAUGGCGAAGGCAGCGCUCUGGGAUGAACCUGACGCUAAGAGACGAAAGCUAGGGGAGCGAACAGGAUUAGAUACCCCGGUAGUC
rnacentral:rRNA from 1 species